rnacentral:rRNA from 1 species
UACGUAGGGUCCGAGCGUUGUCCGGAAUUAUUGGGCGUAAAGAGCUCGUAGGCGGUUUGUCGCGUCUGCUGUGAAAUCCCGAGGCUCAACCUCGGGUCUGCAGUGGGUACGGUCAGACUGGAGUGCGGUAGGGGAGAGUGGAAUUCCUGGUGUAGCGGUGGAAUGCGCAGAUAUCAGGAGGAACACCGAUGGCGAAGGCAGUUCUCUGGGCCGUAACUGACGCUGAGGAGCGAAAGCGUGGGGAGCGAACAGG